rnacentral:rRNA from 1 species
GAUGAACGCUGGCGGCGUGCCUAAUACAUGCAAGUCGAGCGAACGGACGAGAAGCUUGCUUCUCUGAUGUUAGCGGCGGACGGGUGAGUACCCCUUGAUAACCUACCUUUAAGGCUUGGAUAACCUCGGGAAACCGGGACUAAUUCCGGAUUAUAUUUUUAACCCCCUGGUUUAAAAGUUAAAGACGGUCUUGCUGUCACUUAUUGAUGGGUCCGCGCUGCCUUAGCUAGUUGGUAAGGUAACGGCUUACCAAGGCAACGAUGCAUAGCCGACCUGAGAGGGUGAUCGGCCACACUGGAACUGAGACACGGUCCAGACUCCUACGGGAGGCAGCAGUAGGGAAUCUUCCGCAAUGGGCGAAAGCCUGACGGAGCAACGCCGCGUGAGUGAUGAAGGUCUUCGGAUCGUAAAACUCUGUUAUUAGGGAAGAACAUAUGUGUAAGUAACUGUGCACAUCUUGACGGUACCUAAUCAGAAAGCCACGGCUAACUACGUG